CCAGUAUCGAAGGGAGGGCGGGGAGAACAAGUCCUCAAGCACCCCUGCCUGGUUCCGUCCAUCUCCCCAUCACACCCUAGGGUCCCGAGCCCAGGGAGAAGCCCCCGCGGGGCGGGGCCUAGAGCCGCGCCGGCGCGUCCAGCAGGUGGCAGCCGCGAGCGGCCGCGCCCCCCGCGCUGUCCACCCUCGAGCCCGCAUCAUGGAUGUCGAGCUCUCCUAUUUCGCUUUGCUCGCCUUGGAAUUCGAGACCCCAGACGAGGACCAGGAUUCAUGAACCGGUCGCAGGGGCCCGGGCAGGGGCCUCUGGCUCCCGACGCUGGCCGAGAGGUGAUGCGUGAGGUGCCAAGAAGAGAAGAUUUAGAAGGCAACUAGGGCCUCCGUGUUGAAUGAAAGACCCGUGCCGAGGCAUCGCCAUGAACACGAGCAAUCCACCACCUUGCAUGUGGAGUGCAGAAUGUGGACUUGGAGUUGUAAUUCCAGUAAUAAGAAGAGAUCUGUCAGGGCCCACCCUCACCCUGAUUCCUUUCAAGACUACUGGCAGACACCUUUGAGGCUUCAGCGACCAGCACUGUCCAAUGAAUUUUCUACAAUGAUGGAAAUGUGCAACUUCUGCUCUGUCCGGUAUGGUUGCCACUAGCCACAUGUGGCUACUGAGUACUUGAAAUGUGACUAGUAUAACUAAGAAACUGAAUUCUUUCUUUUAUUUUAUUUUAAUUCAUUUAAAUAGCCACACGCAGCUGGUACCAUACUAGAUAACACAAACCUAGAAUAAUCUUUAUCAUUCAUUUGACCUCUGAAAGCAUUGUUUUUUUAAUUAUGUGGCA
rnacentral:lncRNA from 1 species